UACGUAGGGUGCGAGCGUUGUCCGGAAUUACUGGGCGUAAAGAGCUCGUAGGUGGUUUGUCGCGUCGUCUGUGAAAUUCCGGAGCUUAACCUCGGGCGUGCAGGCGAUACGGGCAAUACUUGAGUGCUGUAGGGGAGACUGGAAUUCCUGGUGUAGCGGUGAAAUGCGCAGAUAUCAGGAGGAACACCGGUGGCGAAGGCGGGUCUCUGGGCCGAUACUGACGCUGAGGAGCGAAAGCGUGGGGAGCGAACAGGAUUAGAUACCCGCGUA
rnacentral:rRNA from 1 species